GACGAACGCUGGCGGCGUGCUUAACACAUGCAAGUCGAGCGGUAAGGCCCUUUCGGGGGUACACGAGCGGCGAACGGGUGAGUAACACGUGGGUGACCUGCCCUCAGCUCUGGGAUAAGCCUGGGAAACUGGGUCUAAUACCGGAUAUGACUCCAUGACGCAUGUUGUGGGGUGGAAAGCCUUGUGCGGCUGAGGAUGGGCCCGCGGCCUAUCAGCUUGUUGGUGGGGUGAGGCCUACCAAGGCGACGACGGGUAGCCGGCCUGAGAGGGCGACCGGCCACACUGGGACUGAGACACGGCCCAGACUCCUACGGGAGGCAGCAGUGGGGGAAUCUUGCGCAAUGGGCGAAAGCCUGACGCAGCGACGCCGCGUGAGGGAUGACGGCCU
rnacentral:rRNA from 1 species